rnacentral:rRNA from 1 species
CCAGACUCCUACGGGAGGCAGCAGUGGGGAAUAUUGGGCAAUGGGCGCAAGCCUGACCCAGCAACGCCGCGUGAAGGAAGAAGGCUUUCGGGUUGUAAACUUCUUUUCUCAGGGACGAAGGAAGUGACGGUACCUGAGGAAUAAGCCACGGCUAACUACGUGCCAGCAGCCGCGGUAAUACGUAGGUGGCAAGCGUUAUCCGGAUUUAUUGGGUGUAAAGGGCGUGUAGGCGGGAGCGCAAGUCAGAUGUGAAAACUCAGGGCUCAACCCUGAGCCUGCAUUUGAAACUGUGUUUCUUGAGUGCUGGAGAGGCAAUCGGAAUUCCGUGUGUAGCGGUGAAAUGCGUAGAUAUUAGGAGGAACACCAGUGGCGAAGGCGGCCUGCUGGACGAUGACUGACGUUGAGGCUCGAAAGCGUGGGGAGCAAACAGGAUUAGAUACCCUCGUAGU